UUAAAAAGUGUCGUUUUGUAAAUUAGGGUUCAUCGCCUUCUUUUCUUUUCCGCCGUUAUGGGGUUUCGAUUUUGACGUUUGAUAUUCGUCUUCUUCAACAUAAAUGCUCCCACUACAGAUUCAUCCCGUUAAGCCUCUUAUGAAAUCCAUCAACCACGAUCUAGCCUUUAAUGCAAGUUUCUUUUGUGCAAAGCGGUGUAUCUGCGAGUAUAUAAAGUCUGGCAGGUGCUCCGCCACUGUUGAGGUCAGAGCAGGUCGCCAGAGGCCAGUAAUGUCAUUUCACGGUGGAGAUGUAGGUUGAUAUUUCCAUAAGCAGACAGGUUCAAUUUAUUCCAUAAGCGGUUUUGAUGUGACUCAGAGCAAUCUGAAUUUAACGCUGUCCGACUCUCCUCUAUCGAUUUGACUCAAUCGUCGAAGUGCGUCUCCACCGUCGAAGUGCGUCUCUCACAAUGAGUGUAGAUGGAGAGAGAGAGAGAGAGUACUAAUCAUAUUGUUACGUUACGUUCAAGACCUAUGUUAACGCUGGGAGAGCAGAGACUUUGCUCUAUUGUUAUUGUCUCAAACAUUGUUAGAUAUAUGCAAGAUUCUGUAAAUAAGGAUGUUAUAAAAGCUAUGUUGGAGAGCUGUUCAAGAGUACUUCAAGGUUUAGCUUUCAACACUGUUGCGUGGAAUGAUUCUGUUAUCUUUGUAGACAAAAGUAUGAGAUGACUUCUUAUAGGUUUUACAGUCUACUUCUAUGUUUGUUCUUUUUCCUUCUGUUCUCUUAUAUCUCGUGUAAAUUUAAGUGAGAUAAAAAUCAAUGUAAAAUCUAGAAAUAAUGUAUUUACUUUUUUUUU